rnacentral:misc_RNA from 1 species
GCCGGUUCUAGCGAGUCGGCUCUCCUUAAAUGCAUUAGCAAGAUUAAUCGCUGGUAUUAUCUUUGAUAUGAUAAUUAUCUAUAUCAUGGAUGAAACAAGUGUUUUCCUUCAUGGAAAGAUCUGGCUUUCUAAUCGUCUUUCGAGACAACUAGAUUGAAUCAUUUGACCUCAAAUCAGGUAGGACUACCCGCUGAACUUAA